UUUGCCCCGCUGGGACUCAGCAGCACCAGCAUCAUCGACCAUACUGGGACCAGCAGCCGCGGAGGGCGCUCGAGGCGGCUUUCGCGAGAGCUCCUCCAGACCCAGGCGCGAAGCUCGGGCUCUCUUUUACCAUAUUCGACCCGCUCCGCCCCUUCCGGCAGCGCCUCGCACCGCGUCGGGGUGAGCAGGUGCAAUCGACACCCGGCCUAGCGGCACAUUGGACACUUCCUGCGCUGCCUCAAUCGCCGGGAUUGCCUCUUUGACCUUGAACUAGUAUUCAUUUGGCCUCCUGUUUGGUCUCCAAUGCUCUCCUUCGUCAUCUCUGCUCGUCAAACGGGAGUGCAGUGGCAUAAUCACAGCUCACUGUAGCCUCGACCGUCUGGACUCAAGCAAUUCUCCUGCCUCAGUCUCCUGAGGAGCUGGAACUACAUACAGUUGAAAACAUUUCCGGUGCAGUGGCUGACUGUAAUGCCAGCACUUUGGGAGGCCGAGGCUGGAAGAUCACUUGAAGCCAGAAGCCAAGAGUUCAAGACCUGCCUGAGCAACAGGCGACACCCCGUCUCUAUUUAAAAAGAAAAAAAAAAAGUUUCCAAGGCACUGAGAUGCCAGGAA